CCCCCAGACUCCUACGGGAGGCAGCAGUGGGGAAUAUUGCACAAUGGGGGAAACCCUGAUGCAGCGACGCCGCGUGAGCGAUGAAGUAUUUCGGUAUGUAAAGCUCUAUCAGCAGGGAAGAAAAUGACGGUACCUGACUAAGAAGCCCCGGCUAACUACGUGCCAGCAGCCGCGGUAAUACGUAGGGGGCAAGCGUUAUCCGGAUUUACUGGGUGUAAAGGGAGCGUAGACGGCAGUGCAAGUCCGGAGUGAAAGCCCGGGGCUCAACCCUGGGACUGCUCUGGAAACUGUAAAGCUGGAGUGCGGGAGGGGCAGGCGGAAUUCCUGGUGUAGCGGUGAAAUGCGUAGAUAUCAGGAGGAACACCGGCGGCGAAGGCGGCCUGCUGGACCGUAACUGACGUUGAGGCUCGAAAGCGUGGGGAGCAAACAGGAUUAGAUACCCCGGUA
rnacentral:rRNA from 1 species